rnacentral:rRNA from 1 species
CCAAUAGCGUAUAUUAAAGUUGCUGCAGUUAAAAAGCUCGUAGUUGAAUUUCGGGAUCAUCAUGUCGGUCGUGCCUCGGUACGUACUGGCAUCGUUGGUUUCUCCCUUCUGACGAACCAUGAUGUCAUUUAUUUGGUGUUGUGGGGAAUCAGGACUGUUACUUUGAAAAAAUUAGAGUGUUUAAAGCAGGCUCACGCUUGAAUACAUUAGCAUGGAAUAAUGAAAUAGGACGUUUGAUUCUAUUUUGUUGGUUUCUAGGAUCGACGUAAUGAUUAAUAGGGAUAGUUGGGGGCAUUAGUAUUCAAUUGUCAGAGGUGAAAUUCUUGGAUUUAUUGAAGACUAACUACUGCGAAAGCAUUUGCCAAGGAUGUUUUCAUUAAUCAAGAACGAAAGUUAGGGGAUCGAAGACGAUCAGAUACCGUCGUAGUCUUAACCAUAGACUAUGCCGACUAGGGAUCGGAUGAUGUUAAUUUUUUAAUGACUCAUUCGGCGCCUUACG